AAACAAAACAAACAAAGAACAAAAUCACAGCUAAGAUUUUUACACAGUGAUGUGUAUUUCUUUAAAGGGUGAGGAAAGGAACUUUAUUUAUGUUGCUUAAUGAGGAAACUGUUCAUUGUGUUCCACAUUCUGAUUCAGACUCAUUUACUGUAAACAGCAGCUGAAGUCGUCAGUAAUAAACUCGUGACAGAAAUGACUUCAGUCAUGAGCAAUCCAGGAUUCAGAGCACGUUAUAAAAGUCUGAAAGUUGAUGCAUUUAUUUGGUGAAGUUUAAAAUGAUUCAUCUCUCUGUUUAGAGAAAUAUGAAUACUUUGCUGAAUUUGAAUUCAGCAAGUCUGCAUGACACAGUUAUUUAUUUACAAGAGUGGAAAAAUUAUGGAACCAAAACCCAUAAGUUUGAAAGAAAAAAAAAAAAAAAAGAAAAGAAAAAACUGUGCUACACUGUGAUGAAGCCAAACAGUAAUUUUCCAAGGUUGACUCCUCCCUUUCCUCUUUCACGUUCCAUGCCAUUCAGGAAUGUUUGUGUUUUUUAAGAGACACGUGCUGAUACAUUUGGAGUCAUUUCACUUCAGACUUAACCGGCCACGUUUUCUGGCAGCAACUAAAGAAAAGGAAUCGUCCUCAUUCAGACGAUGAUGACAAACAACAGGACGCCUGGGGUUGUAGAGUCUGGGUUGUUACGGGACUUGGGACGUGAAUUCCUCCGCGGCGCUCCCCCUCCUCCUGCUGUCUGCGCAUGUGCCGCGCCCCCACUGGAAGGUAAGACGCCAACCACACAGACUGGGUUAAUGUGGUAGUGGGUUAAUAUUGUGUGUAUAAUACUUGUGUUUUCAUAGACCCAAUCGCGACGACAGCACGCGAUGACAUCACGCGCCGGGCAGGGCCACACCGAUAGGCAGAAAACUCUGAUGCAGCCGCUGACAGCGUGCACUCAGUGAUCCAUCACACACACUGACAGAUCAGCGGCGUGCAUUAAAAAAAAAAAAAAAAAAAACACGUCACAUCCAGAUGGAUGACAAUCCA